rnacentral:lncRNA from 1 species
AAAUUUGGGGCGGCGGCCAUCAGGUCGAGCCUGCUGCACCGGUUUUUUUCAGUACCGCCAAUUUCAUCGGCCGUCGUCGACCACCAAUCACCACCCCCUCACUUCUUUUCCGGCAUCCAUUAGGUGAAAUGGGCGGAUUGCGUGUGCUCAUAUUAUUACUGAUAUUGAAGGGAAGCCGGAGCGCCGAUGGUGGAUUCCGACGGCGUUGAUAUUUGUGGGUUGCGUGUUUCCGGCGGUGGUAUGCGUUAUUGAUGGUGGCGGUGGAGUUGGCUGAGGUACGACGGCGGUUGAUUUGCUAGAGAGGCAAAAUUAGGUUGAUAAAGUUCUAGCAAAUUGCAACUUACUCCAAUCAAGUUUUCUGAAAUUACUAAUUGACCCCAUAUUUGGGUAAUUCCUCAGUUUGGGCUGGGGUCAAUUUAUAAUAAAUGAAAAUCUGAUUUUGGGCCCAAAGCUUCCGAAAAGUGCAUUUCAGUCCCCACUUUUAAAGUUUCUCCCAAAACAGUCAUAUAUUUUUCGAAAAUAUAUUAUAAAUCUCAAAUUAAGUAUUUCUGAAUCUUAGGUCCCUUUUCACUCAAAGGCUUUUCUUUCAAAAUUUCAAUUCAGUCAUUUAAGUUGAAAGAUUUUCUGGUUUUGGGACAAGGGCAACUUUUUAAGGAAUAAAAAGUUAAUUUAAGGUUUUGGGGCCGUUUAAAAUAUUUCAAUUAUUUUGAGGGACCGAACUAAUAUGUGAAUUCUUUUAAAUUCUUUUGAGGUUUUUUGUUUGGUCAAUAAAGUGAAAUUCAUUUUGAAUUUCAAAUUCGGUUUUCUAAGGUUAAUUUGGGGAAUUUCAGAUGAUAAAGUUUAU